GGUGGCUGUGUGGUUAGAGCAGCUGCCUUGUAUUUGUGCGUGUGGGGUUCAAUUCCUGAGCAAGACGUCCUAGCACUGCAGCCCGCUGAUGCCUGUAGUGUAUUUACACGCUUGCUAGAGCAAACGCCUUGGAUCAAGUGCCCAAUUCCGCCCGUGGGAUUGUGGUUCCACCGGUCCACUCACAUUUUAAUUGUCGUUUUUGUGUUUUAUUUUACUUAAAGGGGAAGUUAACACUUAAGCAGCUGCAAAGGAUCUUAUGACUGUCAAGUACCUGACUGCCAGCAUGACAGAUUUUAGUUUCUGGGUUUCUUUUUAAUCUAUGUCACUUUGCCUGCCAGGAGAACUUAUAUCCACCCUCUCCUGUUCUUAUUGGUAAAUGCAUGGUUGUUAGGGUUAGGGAGCCUAGCAACCAAAGCAAACUCAAUGCCAGAGUUUAAUAUGUGCCUUUGGGGCAAGAUACAUUAUUUUUAGUAAUUAUAUCAGGGAAGUGAUGGGCUGGUCAGGAAAUUCUACCCCCAAAACUAAACUGCAAUCAAUUCAGCCCUGGUAGCUGAAUUUUCAAAUGAUCUGGUCACCCCACCCCAGCAACUACCCAUGCCUGAUGUAUGCACUUGCUAUAUACACCAAUACCUUCCCCAGGCUGACUAUAGGCAUGGACAUCACCAGUAAUCGGGGAUAUUCAAACUGCAGCUGUAUAGCUAUUAAUGGGGUGCAGCUCUCAGCUGGCUGCCAGGAGGAUUCUGGGAGUUGUAGUCCAACAACAGCUGGAGGGCUGUAGUUUGGGCAUCUGUAACAAAUUCCAGCCCUGGACUGGAGUGCUGCAAACAGAAAAUGUCAAAAAAAAAAGGAGACCAACUGCAAAUUAUUUUGAGUUAAUUUAAAGGCAAAGGUAAUCUUCUCCAGUAAUAUGGGCCCCUGGGUGCAAUACGUGAGAAGUGAAGGAGAUGCCGAAGGUUCCUGGGCAGAGGGAAGGUGCGGCUCUUUGCUAUCAGUAAUAACAAGGAUUAAUCAAAGUCCAAUGCUGUGACUGCUGUUAACCCUGAGCGUCGGGCUUAUGCGCCAGAUGCCUCUCCUACAGAUACCUCACAGCUAUGCGCUGUUGGGCCUUUCUAUGGAUCCUUCUCCCUAUUGCAGGGACAAUAGAAGUACGGACGGAUCCGCUGCAAGUAAGAGGCUUUGUGACGAAAAGCACGUUGCUGAGCUGCCGUUUCAUGGCCCCCCGAGACACAAAGCUGGAAGAUAUUGCAGUGAGAUGGACUGUGCAGUCCAGGGGCGCCAUGAGGCCUGUGUACUCGUUUGAUGGAAACAGAACUGAGCUUGAUAGGAGACAGACCUUCCUGGACCUCUCCCUUCUGGGGAAUGGCAAUGCGUCCCUCUACCUGAAAGAGAUAACUGUGGAGGAUGAAGGAGAAUAUACCUGCACUGUAUUAAUAACCCCCCAUGUGGGGCAUUCCACCAUUGCACUAAAAGUGACAGCACAACCCCAUAUGAGCUUAGAGCCCCACAACCCAACCUAUAUUCACGGGGAGAUCAAGACUUUCUUCUGUAUCGUCCAGAAUUAUUAUCCACAAAAGAUUGAAUUGAACUGGCUGGUGAGUGAGCUGGACAAAGAGCAGGUUCUGCCAAAGACCUACUGUACCAGUGACCCAGCUCUCAAUAAUGACGGCACCUACUCAGUAAAGAGCCAGAUCGCCUUAGUCCUUAAUGAAAGUGAUUCCGGUGCAACAAUGUACAUCUGUGAAGUCAGACACGAGUCACUGGAGCAGCCGGCGAGGGCAAGGACCUCUGUAUUUCUGGCAUCUUCUCAGGCCAUUCUUACAGACACCGGAUUCAUUGUAGGAGUUGCUGUGGGCUGUGUACUGGUGACCGGAAUAAUCAGCGUCUUAUUCAGCAUUUUAUAUCAGAAGCGACUAGCAGCAGCUGCUCCUUUGGUGUCACCAAUUAUUCCGCCGGCACUGGUGAUCGCCAAUGAAAAAAUGACUUUUACGUGCAAUAUUAAUGGCUUCCGGCCAAAGCCAAUCAUCAUCCAGUGGUACAUUGACAGACCAAAGCAAAGUCAGAGUCUUUCCAUUGAUAAGCCUCUACUCUGCGGUGAGGACGUCACACACCAAGCCCAACAACAAGUCACCAAACACGGGAGUGUAUUCAGCGCAACUUCCCAGCUAUUUUACACUCCGACUGUUCAAGACGACGGAGCCAUUUUGGUCUGCGAGGUGGAGCACAAAGCCUUACAUGCAACAGUACGACAGAAGGAAAAGAUAAAUAUAACCGCUCGCCCUAAAAAAUGUUAUAUCACAAGCUGGCCACUGGUCCCUCAGUUGGGAGAAAGACUCGUCUUGAGUUGCAUCGCAGAAAAGUUUUAUCCAAUGGAAAUAUCUCUGACGUGGCUGAAGAACGGACAGUUGGUCACAGAUGUAACGUCGUUCGGACCCUUCCUCUGUGAGGAUGACUAUUACAGUAUGUGGAGUCAGACAGAGCUCCUACUGACCGAGGAGGAUGAUGGACUUAUUUAUACUUGUCAGAUCAACCAUAUGAGUUUUGGGAAGAUAGAGGAACUGACCUAUGAAAUUAACUUAAAAGGGACACCUCCUGAGGUGCAGUGGAUAAUAGCUGAACCCCAAAGUCCUACCCAAGGGGAAGAAGCCAGGCUUAGGUGCAAGAUCAGUAACUUUUCUCCUCCGGACGUAACAGUGAACUGGUUCAGAAAUGGAGUCCAGCUUGGCACGGGGGUCUGUAACUCUCUGUGUGUGGCCAGUGCUAGGGGCUUGCACUCAAUGUGGAGUUUGCUGAGGUUCCCAUGCAAAGCUGAAGAUCAUGGAAGUACAUUUAUGUGCCAAGUGCAUCACAUUGCAUUAAAGAACUGCGAGGAAAGAUCCUACACACUGAGCCUCUCUGGAAAGAGCUAAACAUGGAAUCUGCAUCUAUAAGGGAAUCUGCCAUAGGUACUGUACAUACUGUAUAUCAGUGAUCCCCAACCAGUGGCUCAGGGCAACAUGUUGCUCCCCAACCCCUUGGG